AGAGUUUGAUCCUGGCUCAGAACGAACGCUGGCGGCAGGCCUAACACAUGCAAGUCGAGCGCCCCGCAAGGGGAGCGGCGGACGGGUGAGUAACGCGUGGGAACGUGCCUCUUGCUACGGAAUAGCCUCGGGAAACUGGGAGUAAUACCGUAUAAGCCCUACGGGGGAAAGAUUUAUCGGCAAGAGAUCGGCCCGCGUUGGAUUAGGUAGUUGGUGGGGUAAUGGCCUACCAAGCCGACGAUCCAUAGCUGGUUUGAGAGGAUGAUCAGCCACACUGGGACUGAGACACGGCCCAGACUCCUACGGGAGGCAGCAGUGGGGAAUCUUAGACAAUGGGCGCAAGCCUGAUCUAGCCAUGCCGCGUGAGCGAUGAAGGCCUUAGGGUUGUAAAGCUCUUUCGUGGGGGAAGAUAAUGACUGUACCCCAAGAAGAAGCCCCGGCUAACUCCGUGCCAGCAGCCGCGGUAAUACGGAGGGGGCUAGCGUUGUUCGGAAUUACUGGGCGUAAAGCGCACGUAGGCGGACUGGAAAGUC
rnacentral:rRNA from 1 species